rnacentral:rRNA from 1 species
AGAGUUUGAUCCUGGCUCAGGAUGAACGCUAGCGACAGGCUUAACACAUGCAAGUCGAGGGGCAGCACAGGUAGCAAUACCGGGUGGCGACCGGCGCACGGGUGAGUAACGCGUAUGCAACUUACCUAUCAGAGGGGGAUAACCCGGCGAAAGUCGGACUAAUACCGCAUGAAGCAGGGGCCCCGCAUGGGGAUAUUUGCUAAAGAUUCAUCGCUGAUAGAUAGGCAUGCGUUCCAUUAGGCAGUUGGCGGGGUAACGGCCCACCAAACCGACGAUGGAUAGGGGUUCUGAGAGGAAGGUCCCCCACAUUGGUACUGAGACACGGACCAAACUCCUACGGGAGGCAGCAGUGAGGAAUAUUGGUCAAUGGCCGAGAGGCUGAACCAGCCAAGUCGCGUGAGGGAUGAAGGUUCUAUGGAUCGUAAACCUCUUUUAUAAGGGAAUAAAGUGCGGGACGUGUCCCGUUUUGUAUGUACCUUAUGAAUAAGGAUCGGCUAACUCCGUGCCAGCAGCCGCGGUAAUACGGAGGAUCCGAGCGUUAUCCGGAUUUAUUGGGUUUAAAGGGUGCGUAGGCGGCCUUUUAAGUCAGCGGUGAAAGUCUGUGGCUCAACCAUAGAAUUGCCGUUGAAACUGGGGGGCUUGAGUAUGUUUGAGGCAGGCGGAAUGCGUGGUGUAGCGGUGAAAUGCAUAGAUAUCACGCAGAACCCCGAUUGCGAAGGCAGCCUGCCAAGCCAUUACUGACGCUGAUGCACGAAAGCGUGGGGAUCAAACAGGAUUAGAUACCCUGGUAGUCCACGCAGUAAACGAUGAUCACUAGCUGUUUGCGAUACACUGUAAGCGGCACAGCGAAAGCGUUAAGUGAUCCACCUGGGGAGUACGCCGGCAACGGUGAAACUCAAAGGAAUUGACGGGGGCCCGCACAAGCGGAGGAACAUGUGGUUUAAUUCGAUGAUACGCGAGGAACCUUACCCGGGUUUGAACGCAUUCGGACCGAGGUGGAAACACCUUUUCUAGCAAUAGCCGUUUGCGAGGUGCUGCAUGGUUGUCGUCAGCUCGUGCCGUGAGGUGUCGGCUUAAGUGCCAUAACGAGCGCAACCCUUGCCACUAGUUACUAACAGGUGAUGCUGAGGACUCUGGUGGGACUGCCAGCGUAAGCUGCGAGGAAGGCGGGGAUGACGUCAAAUCAGCACGGCCCUUACAUCCGGGGCGACACACGUGUUACAAUGGCGUGGACAAAGGGAGGCCACCUGGCGACAGGGAGCGAAUCCCCAAACCACGUCUCAGUUCGGAUCGGAGUCUGCAACCCGACUCCGUGAAGCUGGAUUCGCUAGUAAUCGCGCAUCAGCCAUGGCGCGGUGAAUACGUUCCCGGGCCUUGUACACACCGCCCGUCAAGCCAUGGGAGCCGGGGGUACCUGAAGUCCGUAACCGCGAGGAUCGGCCUAGGGUAAAACUGGUGACUGGGGCUAAGUCGUAACAAGGUAGCCGUACCGGAAGGUGCGGCUGGAACACCU